rnacentral:lncRNA from 1 species
GAUGCCCCUCAAGAUGGCUGUGCCUGUCAGCUGCAUGGAGCUUCGUUCAAGUAUUUUCUGAGCCUGAUGGAUUUACAGUGAUCUUCAGUGGUCUGGGGAAUAACGCUGGUGGAACCAUGCACUGGAAUGACACACGCCCGGCACAUUUCAGGAUACUAAAAGUGGUUUUAAGGGAGGCUGUGGCUGAAUGCCUCAUGGAUUCUUACAGCUUGGAUGUCCAUGGGGGACGAAGGACUGCAGCUGGCUGAGAGGGUUGAGAUCUCUGUUUACUUAGAUCUCUGCCAACUUCCUUUGGGUCUCCCUAUGGAAUGUAAGACCCCGACUCUUCCUGGUGAAGCAUCUGAUGCACGUUCCAUCCGGCGCUCAGCUGGGCUUGAGAAUCCUGUUACACCUGGGAUUUAGGCACUUUCAAUCUGAAAAAAUACAUAUCCUUUCAGCACUCUGGACGGACUUGAGAACUGUCCUUACGUGACCUAAAGCUGGAGUAUUUUGAGAUUGGAGAAUUAAGAGUGUGGGCACCCUGGCUUCAAGCUCACGAGAAACCAGGUCGGGAUUUAAACAAUGUUGGGUUAAAGCAAAGUUUCAUAAAGACAGAAUC